rnacentral:lncRNA from 1 species
CACUGUUGGUUGGCUUGCAGUGUUUGUGGAGCAUAUGAGAUAGAGUUUGCAAAACAAAUGGCUGCUGGAUUGAUGCAAAUAAUCAUGAUAUCAUUCUGUAGCUAGUUCAUUGAUAGAGAAGGUUUUUGGGAAAGUCUUUCCAUCUACCAGAAGACGGUUAGGUCAAUCAUUAGCAUCGCUAUGUUUUUCCUGUUCCUGAAUUGUUUGAAACCAGGACGUUUUACUUCAUAUCAUGAGGUCCCACAGUUGACAGUGCAUGUCAGAGCAAAAACCAAGCCAUGUGAUCGAAGGAAUUCUCCGUAGAGCUCCAAGACAGGAGUGUGUCGAAGCGCAGAUCUGGGAAAAGUAAGUUGCUUUAAUCGCCGGUGUGGGUGGUGACCUUUGUGGUCAUUUUCCCAAUCCUCUAUUUCAACUACGGCAAGGAAGUCCAUGAAAACACCAACAACAACCACACAAGCAAAAUGGCCUCCAAUGACUCUCACUGUUUCCAGGUCGGCAGCCACCUGAAAAAUCACUCUGGCGUGAAAAAGCUGAACUACAUCAUGAGCUCUGUGAUCGUCAUCGUGGCCUGUGUGCAGACGGCACUGCAUUGUCACGUCAUGGCCUUCUGACCAGGAAGUACGGGCUAGACUGCAUGUUUCACCAGGAAUUCUGGGCUCAGCUGAAGAGCUUGUGUUUUGAUGUGGUGCUGCUGGUGUGUUACAUGUCCUAUUACAUGUUCAGGAAUUACUACCUGGAACACCUGCAGCAGCUGGAGCACACUAACGAGGAGUUCCUCAGUCUCACGGCCCUCAGCUGUCUCGACAUGUUUACUUUCCUAAGGAGCGGACAUUGCUAUAUGUGUGACCUCUUCUCACAUUACCUAAACUAUGAACUCAGAGCCAAAACCUCGCUGUAAUAUUACUUACCUUUUAAACAGUACUUUAGCACCAUCUGCUUGUUUAUAUUGCUACACAACAUAGUCUACUGUACUGUAGGUCUAUUGCAGUUUGACUAUAUUGGACUAAAAUGUAUUUUGUCUCAUAUUGGAAUUUAAAAUACAGUAAGUUGUGCCAAUGACAUUUCUCUCAAUAUGUCGAUUUCAAUCUUUGAAAAAACUUUGUGUAAGGCUACAGAGUAUGUAAAUAUUGUAAUAAAUAAAUAAAUGGUUAAAAUGUUA